GCCUUGUAAUCUGCAGGAGAAGAUGUAAUGUCUCCCAGAGGCUGAUUUUCACUGCCUGGCUCCUUCUAAGUCUGCACCCCCCUGGGAGUCAGAAUUUGGGUCCCUAAAGGGGGCAGACACGAGGUGGCUGCUCUGGGGUUUGCACAACCUGCAUCUCCCCGCUGGCAGCCGCAGCAUCCCCCAGAGCAGUGGUGCUGGCUGCUCCUCGUCUCUGCCUUAAUCACCCUGCGACGUUACAGGCAUCAUUAAUAUCCGUGCACCCAGAUGGCUCCCAGCCGCCGUGCCCGGCUCCCCAUCAAAGCCGUGUGCUCAGACCAACUGGCUGCACUGGGAAUUGUCUGGGAGACGUGAGAGGAGCAGGGAGACGCUGCAGACUCUUUCCAGCAGCAAACACCCAGGCUGCAAGCUGCUGAAACCCAUGCAAGCGCUGCCACUACUGGCAAUAAUCUUUGGAUGGGGCUUUAAUACUGAAAAAUGGGGAUUUCAUUCCAGAACCCCAUUGUGCUUGUGAAACAGAUUCUCUCUGAUCCGAUUCAUAUUUAAUUUAUUUAUCCAGAUGAGGAACGCAUCAAGAGGAGGGCACGAGGAUGGAUAGGCACGAGGACCAGGCUGCAGGGCCCCGCUCUGCCUCCUUGCCCUGCCCUCAUCAAGCAUCCUUUCUCCCCACUAAGAUGCCUGCAAUGGGGCACGUGCCUGUCUGCCUGCUCAAGGAAAUGCAGCAAGUCUCUCAGCAGGGCAAAUACGAACAGAUGGGGAAUCUUGCAUCAUCCGAAUUUCAGGAGAAACGUAAGUAACUUGAAAUGGAAAAUACCUGCAAGAGACCCAGUAUUUGCAGCUGUGCCAUGGAACAUCAAGAGCAAUGGAAGGCUGACCUCCAAGGCUUUCAGUAAUAUUAAUAAAUUGUCACUCUUUGAAAGCCCUGUUGGCACUGCAUUCUCUUCCUUGCAGUCAUUUAAGCAGUUUCUACAUAAUGAAAAUUAUAGCACCACAUAGUGCUUAAUGAAAACACCUGGUGCCUGCAUCUAACUGCUCCUAUUGUAGCCAAACAUCUCAGGAUAUUUACAGAGAUGGGUUGACACCGAGGUUCUCCUUGAUGAGGAAAUCAUCAGAGGCUGCAGGCAAGAUGUACAAAGCUAGGCUCUCCUCUCUGCUCGGGAAGAAGUGGCAGCUGCUGGUUUAAUCAAGGAGAGCUAGGGUGCAUGCACACGCCUUGAGGCACUCACCUGUGGGACAGCUCAAACCAGGGUGGUUUGGGAACCAUCUGUGCCACCACCUCCCUGAGAGG
rnacentral:lncRNA from 1 species